AAGUGUAAGCUCAAAGGUAAUUUUUAAUGCGCAAAAUAAAAUAAACAAAAAUACACGAAUAAACAUUAAAGCGCAGUGUUUGUUCUCGCUUCGUUUGCAGAACUCGUGUUCAUUCAUUUCUUUAUUCGUGCAAACAAACAAAUUGCCCAUACAUUACAUAUUUCCAUUCAUAAUUUACAUACCAACAAAGCUCACAAACAAAAUAUGCAUGAUCCGCUAUGCAAGGACAUGAAUGAUCAAAGCAGAAAUCAAUGCAGUUGACAAUGGAAUUUUUUCGUGAGCGGUCACCGGCUGUAAUGCGUGUUCGGAUUAUUGUUCGUGUACGGAGUGAAGUGAGAAAUAAAAGAAAUGAAGGAAAUCUUGUGAAAAUUGGUAAUUUAUUGUGGUAAUUUUGUGUUAAAUAUUUCAAAGUAGUGUUUAAUCAAAGUGCUUGGUUUUUCAUUUAAUGAAAAAUGUGUUCUAUUAAUUUAAAUUAGCGAUAUGUAUGCGUUUAGAAAAAAGUAAGGUGGUAAAAUGUGAUAAAGAGUAGAAAUAAGUGAAAAGUGUUUAAAUGAAAAUUGGUUUGGCAAUAAAUGUGUGUAAAGUAAAGUAAAAAUACAAUAUAAUAUGAGUGUAAGUAAAGUAAAAAUAUGUAAUAAAUGAAGUGUGUGAAAAAAUUGUUGGUCUGUUCGUUAAUCGCUUCGAAAUACUUACAUAUGUAUGUACAUAUUCGUUUUAUGUAAUUCGAUCGUGCGGCCGUUUUCGUAUAAAUCGUAUAACAAAAGCUUAUUUAAUGCCUCGCAUAUAGUAUGUACAUACUUAUGUAAGUAUCUAUGAAUGUAACAAGUCAUGCGGCAAUUUGGACGCUAAUGUGGUGCUCUAGUAAAUACAAAAUAAGUGUAAACAUCAUAACAAUCGUUCGGAGCAUACGAACAAGCAGCUGUCUUACAUUGCCAUAAACGUCAUUGUUGCUACUAAUGCCGUCCUCGGUGUAUUAAAGAUGCAACAUCGCCAAUGUUUAUGCAUCAGACAACGUCGUGAACAUGCUGUUGACUCGGUUGGCCAACAAAAGAAUUUCGAAUUUACCACAGCGCUGCAUGCACAGCAGCAUAGUGAUACAAACCACAGUUAAAGUAUGCUUGUGUGCAGCAGGGAAAAUGAAAAAGAAAACAAAAUAAAUUGUAGAGAAAUGCAGUUGAGGCGCAGCUAAGCAUUCAAAAUAUCAAGGUGUACAAUAUUUCUAAAGUUGGAGCAGUGAACACCAUAGAAUAUAUACCAUCUCAUCUGAAGGCUGGGCAUUCGCAUAGAUAAUGCUCCAAUGUCUCAUCAUUCUCCGCGCUUACUCCGCAUUCCACCGUAUCUACUUUUCCAAUUAUAUGAGCGUGAGAUCUUAAGGCUAACAAUUCAAAAUACAAGACGAUUUUAUUGCACUUAACACCCAAGAGAGUACUCAACUGCUUCCGUGGGAAAUUUCCUUUUGUGUUAAUGAAACACAGGCCUUCGCGCAUUAGUGAACUCAAUGCCUCUACAAUUCAUUAAAUUAAUUACAAUUAUAAACCUUCAAUAGUAUAUCAACCUCAUUUUUCUACUGGGAUGUAUUCAUACGGAGUAUAAGCGCAAAACAAAUUACCAUUGAACAGCAAAACAAAAACUACAUGAGCAAACAAACAAUGCAUUCGCAUUUUUUUGCAUACCAACAAAGUGCACAAACAAAAUACGAUCAACUAAACAAGAACAUGCAUGACCAAAGCAGAAGCAGCGCAGUUGACAAUGGAAAAUUUUCGUGUGCGGUCAAUAGCUAAAACACCUGUUCGGAUCUUUGUUCGCGUACGCAGGCAAUUGUUAAAGUAAAGAAGAUUUGUGCAAGAAUUUGUGUUUAUUAUUUAAAAUUGCGUUUAAUCGGUGCUCGGUAUUAUUAAUAAGUGAAUUUGAUUAAAUAAAAGUGUGUUCUGUAAAGUGAAUUAGUUUAUGUAUUCAAGUGUUAAGCAAAAUAUGCAAUGGAAAGAAGGGGGAAUAAGUGAAAAGUGUUUAAAUGGAAAGUGUAAUAAAAUUGGUGCCAAUAAAGUGUACAUAAUUAAAUGGAGCAAAGUUAUUCAAUUAUUCAUGUUUUUGAAAAAAUGUAUGGCCUGUUGGUAAAGUGCUUCGAAAUAAUCGUAUUUGUGUUAUUCGAUCGUGCGCUUGUAGCCUUCGUAGGCAUUAAUAAAUAACAAAAAAUCAUUUCAUCAUUCAGCUAAAUUAUCUACGUACAAGAAAUACCAACGGGGUGUGUGUAUUGUUUGCGGAGGUGCGGUGAAGACAUUUCUAUAUAACAAAUCGCAAAAAGUGAAAAGUGUAAUGUGUAAUGUGUGUGUGUGUUAAGGCUGUAAACAUACUGAAGCAUCGAAAAUACCGAUAUUUAUCUUGGAGCACAGCUGCUCCCCAUUUGCGUUAACUCGUGUACAGCUUGUGUUGUCUUUGUGUGACCUUUGAUUGCGGGUCGAUAUUUGCUUUACGCUUCCAUGGCUCAAGAAUACAAUUACAACAACAACAAUAAGAUACCAAUUUCCAACACUAAAUGUAUCUUCGCAGGUCUUGACGCUAACAUUUUGAAAGUUCUGAUCGACUCUAACAAUCGUACUCGUUCGUGGAAGAGUAAAAGUCGGCGAAUACUAUGUUAAGAAAUGAGAGCCUCCCAGCACAAUUAUUUUUACCAAAUUUACAUGGUGUAAACGCGGCGAAGCGAAGGCGUGCAUUGAAGUAAGCGAUUAGUACCAGGUUUGGUACGUUGAGCUAGCGCACGCAUACAAAUCACUUUCCAGCAUUGACAUGUUAACAUCUAAACUUGACGCAACGCCAUCGCAUGGCAGCGAACUCUUCAAACUCGCUUAUAUGCAAAAGCACUGCAGCACGCUGAUUGCCGAGAGGUAUUCCACACAAAUCAAGCCGCAUGUGGAGAAGCUGCGCUUCAUUAUUCAUUAUAUGUAUAACCACAUGUCUGUAUUUUGUGAUAAUUGAGACUUUUUUUAAGAUUAACAUUACAAAAAUAAAAAAGUAAAAAAAAGAUAAUGGCAACAGUCGAAAGACAUU